AAAAUAAAGAGAUGGCUGAGUUCAAGUUCUCAUAGCAUACCACCAAGGGGGGAUGCUCUUCCCUUUAACUAGAUUGGGUUUGAGACUUGGUUAUGGAAAAAGUCCUUGAAAGGGACCCUAUGCGGUGCGAAUCCGGAUAUAGUCGGUCUGGGAUAUCGGACACCGGACAUCGGGUAGGAAAACUAAAAAAGUCCGAGUAUCUUUAUAUUUCUGGAAAAGUGAGAAAGUUAUUUUAACAAAGACAAAUACAGGCAGUCCUUGUUUCACAAUACCAAAAAUUUUCAACGGGAGCAAUGAACAACAAGGAUUGAAAAAUUAACAAUAGAAAACUAUCCAUGUAAGCCAAAUAACGAGGAGCAUGAGCAUCAACAAGUUGGAGAAGAGCAGUUGCACAACACAAGGAUGUCGUCAUUGUCUCCAAUAUCACAGGUUCGUCAUCUUAUGCUCAUCGAAUUUCAGAUUUUAAUGGUGAUGGUGACGUCAAUGUUUGAUCCCAAUGAUUCGAUGACCUACUUGUUUAAGGUGCAAUUUGAAAUAACCUCGGGAUAGGAGGAUGCUUCUAUCUAUCAUAGACUGUGUUCGACCAAAAAAUGUUGGACUUUUUUAUUGAACUAAUUAAAUAAGAAGAUUUGAGGCAAAUCCUAGCCAAAGAUAAUUUGUCCUAGAUACGAGAUAGGAGAUAAGAAUAAGUAGGCAUAACUAAACAUAAAAUUUAAUUAUAACAAUGAUUGCAUCUUGUCGCAUAAGAAAAGGAUGAUGAUUUUGAUGAUAUUAAACGACAACGAAGAAUACAUAGAUAAAAAGUGUCACCGUUCUUGAAUAAGAUUGACCCUCAUACAUUUGAUAUAAUGCAUCUAAUGAUGGAUAAUGAGGAUCUAAGCUUCCUUUCUCCUUUCUCCUUGACCAGGAGCCCGAGAUGAAUUAUCUCUCCUUCUCUCUUAAGAUAUGUCUACCUGUGUAUCUGAGUUUUUGUCAGCCCCCCCCCCCAAUUACUCUCUCCCCUCAUAUUUAUACAAAAAUACUUUUUUUAUCCAAUGGUCCUUAAUCGGAAUACUAAGUUCUUGAAAUAUCCUGUGGAAUAUUCCUCUAGAAAUGUCUAAGGAUUGAACUAGUCGUUCAGGCUUAAUGGAGUGCUCGACCUCGACCGCAGCCGAAUCACUCGUUAGUGUAUUGCUUCUCAUACGUGACCUCAGAUCAGUUAGCUAUUGGUCGUCCUUCAUUAAGUGAGAUUCUUCUGUUCAGAUUUCAACCUAUACAGUUAGUCCCUCCGCUCGUCGAGGUUGCCUUUGGGCGAGCAUGGUGGGCAGACUACGCCAGUUAGCUUUUUUGAGAAAUCUGAGAACAUUGGGCGAAGAGUGAUUCCCCUUUGUUGGCGAGGUGGAGAGAUGAUUCUUCAAAAGUCGUGCCAGGCCGUUACGUCAGUUUGAAAUGACACUUUCUUCAUGCGUCAUUAUGGCGCACGUUCCCCAUACAUUACAUCGUUUCCCUCGCUUCUUCCGUUUCGAAGUUAAUGAGGCGGCAUUUGGGCUUUCUUGAUUGGGGUGCCUGUGUCCUUAUAAAUAGGGAUAGGCACUCCUCAUUUGAAUUGUUGUGUUUUUAAAGCCCUUGAAGCCCGAGUUCUUUUCUUCUUCGAAUUUUCAGCUUCUGUGUUUUCUUCCAUUCCUUAGUAUCCUUUGCUACUAUUACCUCCUUCAUCUUUGUACUUCUUCUUCCCGCAAUCAAAAAAAUGGCCAACACUCCCUCUAAUAUUAUGAUGUUGGUUGUGGAUGCAUCUCACCAUGAGGAAGGGGUGGCCAUGGCGAAAGAUGAAAACUUUCCCACUGUGGACGAGAUAAUCCCACGCUCCAGGAAGGUUAGAUCAGACUUCAAAAGCCUGUCUGAGGAUGAACCUGAACUUGUUAUCUCUACUGUGGAUGCGGAAGCGAUCACUGCGUUUAGAACUAAGUGGCAAAUCUCGAUCCAUGUUGAAAUAGUUCCUGCUGGUAUUGAUGUAGUCCAAACACACCGCCCGAGGUACUGCGCAUUUUAUGCAUACCCAUUUGUCGUCGGCUACACGCUUCCUCUUUCUUUUUUAUCAGAGGAUUUUUGCCUCUUUUACAUUGUGUGCCCGGCUCAGCUCUCUCCGUAUAUGUAAAAGCUUUUCCUCAUACUUAUCAAAUACGGGGAGUUGUCCAGCCGUGGUAUUUCUCUACGCCAUGUACUGCCUCUUUGCCCCAAGUUUUUAAAGCGGCACGAUGAUUCAUAUGCGCCAUCGGGGGACUAACGGGUUGGUGGAAAAGAUGGACGAUAAAACUAAUCAUCACUUUUGGGGAAACUUCUUCUUCGUGAAGAUGGCGCACGUGGUAUCGAACCCCAGCGGAUUCCUCGAGGAGUGAAAUUUUGCUCAUAAGUGUUUCCCUUCUAAAAUGACUGUUGUUUACUUUGGGGGUAAUCUGAUCAUUCUUUUUCUUUCUUUGUAGCCCAACGGGAUCCUCUUUCACUAGUUGUAGACAUUCGCGACUGGGUGAUUCGGGUUUUGCCCCAUAUUAUGGGGAUUCACGAGUGGUUGCAUUUCCAUAAGAGGUUCAAACGUAAACCUGUGGUUGGUGAGUCAACUUCGGCUUCGAUUGCUAGCUCUUAUACCAUUAUUUCUAUCCUCUUAUCUCUCUUUUUUGUUUACAGGUCGGAGGGCGGCAAGGAGUGUGAGGGCUCCUACGCCCAUUUUCUGCCAGUUGGGUAUCUCGGCCAAGCCUAUUCUUGCUGUGGCUACAAAUAAACCCGCUCAGACCGCUGCUGUCUUGCAAAUUUCGACUCCCAUAGUUUAUUUUGUGGACGAGUCGUUGGAGGAUGAAGAAGAUGGGGCCCCUUUGAAGAGACGAAAGAUAGUGGCUGAGACCGAGGGACCUUCGAGAGGUGGACUCGCGUUAGCGGUGUCCAAACUGGACGGGGUACUGGAUUGGGCGUUAAGACCGUGGCUCAUCCAAUCUGGAGUUGGCUUUUUUGGAAGAGGAACAGAGCUCGGAGGUCGCUGCAAUCAUUCCUAGUGGUCCGUUGACUUCACAAUAGGCCCGCCCCUCCUCUUUAGACAGCGAGAGGGCAAAGGGCAUGGUUGUAGAUGACUAUGAGUCCAGUUCGGAUAUUGAACUCGAGGACAUAAGAAUGUUUGAAGAGGGGUUCACUCGGGUGGAAACGGGAAUGGACAGUUCCUCUAUCGUAAUCGAGAUUUCCCUAGACUUAGACUUGUUGGGGGACACAGUAAGCCCGGUGCCCUAAUUUGUUGUUAUUUGUUCUGCUAUCGAAAAUAGGGCCCUUCAGGAGAUCAGCGAUGCUGGCCUGUCACGGGGCGUAGCCGGAAUGGCUUUGAGGCUGAGUUCUUUAUUGCGUUCUUCGUUUCACGUCUUCUAUUCUUGCUGACUUCUCGUGGUCCUCUUUUCUUUCCUUAAACUUUCAUUUUGGAGAUUGAGAGUCUCCGCCGCAAGGAGAAGGAGGCGGUCGUCUUCCAGAAGGUAGUUUCAAAAUACUGUCGAUAUCGUGACAAGUGCGGCAAGCUAAAUGCACGACUUAGGGAGGGCGGCGAUCCUCAGUCCCUUAGGGAGGAGUUGGAGCAAAAGGAUGAGGACCUGAUGUAGUCCAUGGGCAGAUGCAACAAACUUGAGGAGCUGCUUAGGGCUAAAGAAGAAGAGCUCAAGGUGGGCAAGGGAGUUUCGGGUGAGUGUGCUGAUCUUCAGGCGAAGGUGGUCGCAGUAUUGUGAAGAGCAUGAAGCGAGGAAAAGUGACAACCCCCAUUUCGCUUAAAGCGAGAAGUGAAACGCUCGCUUUUUUGAAGUGAAGCAAACUUUAAAAAAAUUAAAAUAAAUACUAUGCAGUAAUUAAAUUAAAAUAAAAUAAUAACUAAGAAUAAAGGAUAUAAAAAUUAUAGGAAUGGCAGUAAUUCUCUAUUAAAACUGGGCAGAGAAAUAAGAACCUAAGGAUUGGCAUCAAUUCUGAGAAAGCACCGAAGGUAAAAAAAUUCGCCAGCAUUUCGCUGCUAUUUGGAAGUUUAAACAGUGAAAGAAGAAGAAGAAGAAGAAGAAGAAGAAGAAGAAGAAGAAGAAGAAGAAGAAGAAGAAGAAGAAGAAGAACAUACUUGUUGUUGUUGAAGACUUGAACUUGAAGAAGAAGAAGAACCCUAGUCGAUGUUAUCAGAUGCUCUGCCUUAAAACCCUAGUCGUUGUUGUUGCUGUUCUUUUAUAAAAGACACAACUGAUUUCGUUUUUAAUAAAAUAUGUAUGGGUCUGAUUUAAAACACAGAAGCGGUCGCUUCCUUCGCAUCGCAUCGCUUGAUCGCUUCUCGGUUUUUAGUAGGAAGCAGUCGCUUUUUUAUACCUGAGUCGCUUCACCCAUAUGAAGCGUGCACCUUCUCGCUUCGCAUCGCUUCUCGCUUAAAGCGAGGAAGCGGGCGCUUUUUUAAACACUGGGUGGUCGCCCUACGGGCGGAGCUUGAGCAGAGUGAUUCUAGGGUCACCAGUCUAAGUGUUGAGCUGGUGGAGAAGGCGACCGAAUUGGAGGGAAAAGUGGCCGAGUUGGAGAGAGUCGAAGGAGCCCGGGUAGCGGCCUUGGUGAGGGUUGCGACAUCAGAGGAUUCUAUCCGCGUUCUUGGGUCUGAGCAUGCAAUGGAGAUGGGGACGGCUACUCUGAGGGAGAUAUGACUUGAUGAGAGAAUUGGCGAGCUUGAGGGAGAGGUCUCGACCUUGGGUGAUCAAAUUGUUGCUCUCGAGGCUGAGAGGGCUCAAUUGUUGGUUUUGACUUCUUCUGUGUCCACCUCUGCUAACGUUCCUUGCCAUUUGUACGAGAUGUGGAUCCAUGCUGAAGCUCAGCAAGAUAUAUAUAUAAGGGCUUGUUGGCAUGGGGGAAUGUUCCGGAAGCUGCUUUUGAAGAAGUUCGUGUGAAAGCGCGUGAGGCCCUGCUUGCUUGCGGCUAUGAUCCCACAACACCGGAGGCCGAUGGGGUUGAUGAGGCUGAGGACGGUCUUGCCUUUGAUGAUGACCGUUCUGAUGGAGAGGGUGACGGUGGAGGUGACAUCGCCGAACCUAGCGGGGAAAGAGAUGAUGGCGUGGAUGGGGGUGAUGCUGAGUGAAACCUUUGUACUUUUAACUUGUCCUUUUGUACUUAGUUUUUUUUGGUACUUAGUUGGUUGAGUGGAGUUCCCUUUUUGGCCCUUUGUAAGGCACUAUCUCAUUUCUUUUUCUUUUCUUUUUUUUGAAUAAAGCAGCUGGUUCGUCUUUGAUUGUAUGUCUUUGGCUCUUUCUUUUCUUUUCGGAUUUCUUGGAUUUGCUCGCAAUAAGUCCCUGACUUUUGGUAAUCGAUUCAAGCGGGGUCGAAUUUGACCUGCUUAUUCGGACAAGGUCGAACUUGACUUAUUAACUCGAGCGAGAUCGUAUUUGGUAUGUUAAUUCGAGCGAAGUCGAGUUUUGUAUUGCCAAUUUGAGCGAAGUCCAUUUUUACUUGUAAAUUCGAGUGAGGUCGGAUUUUGACUUGCCAAUUUGGGCGAAGUCCAUUUUGACUUGUAAAUUCGAGCGAGGUCGAUUAUUUUUCCUGUGUUGGCAUGACGUGUAAAUUUGGUGGAGUUACGUAAGAAUUCCGUAUGUUGUUUUGCUUAUUCAUUUAUUGGAGAAGGUUACACGUUACUGUACGAUCCGUAGAUACGUUCGAGGAGUCCCGGUCUAUCUAGUUCUUUCAUCGCUCCGCCUAGAAAGGUAGUUGAUAAACUGGGUGAUGAGUGUCACACUCAAGCUGGGAUGGCAUGUGGGCGAGAUCAGAUUUUAACUGGUUGUGUCGUCGCAGAGUUGCUUUGGCGAGUGCAUGGAUGGGUUUUACGCACUUGUGCUCUUUCUGAGUACUGGAGAGAUUCGUAUGUUCUUCCAGCUGGUGAUUCGGUCCUAGUCUAUUCAGAAUUAUCCCUUUAUGGCGUUAAGUACCAAUUUGUUGGAGAGGUGGCUUCACUCAUCCGUUGCUUGCAGGAUGAUAUGGCGUGGAGAGUGUUGUUUUGAUAAUGUUUGUUCUCUUGUUCGCAUAGUUGGGAGAGUUUUUCUAUUCGCAUCACAUUCAAAGAAAAAUAAUAAGUUAAACCCAAACUAAAUUGUUUGUUACCUCGGCCUAAUUGGUUGACGAGUGGAGAAGGGCGUUGUAACACGACUCAUUUUGACCCAUACUUGAAUGCUGGCUUCAGAUAUGAUCCUGGCCCCGUGCUUGGCUUCACCGUCAGUCGAAUCUGGGCUCUUGUGGAAUGACAACUUAUUUUUCCCGUUGGGAUCUCGAGUUCGAGUCCCAGUCUGAUCCAGUCCCAGGCAUACAAAAAUAAGGGGAACAUAAAUCAUACCGCAAACACACUGGCAAGGUAAGCUUGCUAUUUCAAAGAAUUACACUAUAGCUAUCAUUUCUUCCUAAGAGAGAGAGAGGGCAGUGUGCAUAAGUGUAGAUUGGUAUCUGACGUUAAUAUAGCAAUAAGAUGGUGGACGUGCUUAGUGCGUAGUGACCAUAAUUCUAUUUUGACAACUCACGCUUACGACAUACCAGACUUACCCCUUUAGCAAGACGUGUCUUUCACGUAGAUAUCAAAAUAUAAUUUCGUUUUCGUGCAAUGAUCUUACCUCGGUUUGUCAGGCUAUUUAAAGAGUUUGCCUUAGAUCUAGAGGAGAUUAAAAUUUUGGCUAGAAAAUCCCCACAGACGGCGCCAAAUUGUUCGACCAAAAAGUGUUAGACUUUUUUAUUGAACUAAUUAAAUAAGAAGAUUUGAGGCAAAUCGUAGCCAAAGAUAAUUUGUAUUAGAUCCGAGAUAGGCGAUAAGAAUAAGCAGGCAUAACUAAACAUAAAAUUUAAUUAUGACAAUGAUUGAAUCCCGUCGCAUAAGAAAAGGACGAUGAUUUUGAUGAUAUUAAACGAUAACGAAGAAUACAUAGAUUAAAAGGGUUGCCGUCCUUGAAUAAGGUUGACCUCCAUACAUUUGAUACAAUGCAUCUAAUGAUGGAUAAUGAGGAUCUAAGCUUCCUUUCUCCUUGACCGGGAGCCCGAGAUGAAUUAUCUCUCCUUCUCUCUUAAGAUAUGUCUACUUGUAUAUUUGAGUUUUUGUCAGCUCCCCCCCCCCCUAGUUACUCCCCCCCCCCCCCAUAUUUAUAUAAAAAUAUUUUCUUUAUCCAAUGGUCCUUAACCGGAAUACUUAAGUUCUUGGAAUAUCCUGUGGAAUAAUUCUCUAGAAAUGUCUAAGGGUUGAACUAGCCGUUCAAGCUGAAUGGAGUGCUCGACCUCGACCGCAGCUGAAUCACUCGUUAGUGUAUUGCUUCUCAUACAUGACGUCCUCGGCUUGGUUAGCUCUUGGUCGUCCUCCCUUAAGUGAGAUUCUUCUAUUCAGAUUUUGACCUAUACAGACUGCAGAUGGGAGGAAGAAGAGGACAGCACCAAAAGCUCAUCCUUAGAUGUUGCGAAGAAUUAACCUUCAUCAGCGAAUAACAUAUGACAAAUGAGAAUGGAACUUCGGUGGUUGCAAAUGAGCAAGGGGCUGCUGAUCCAUUUGUUAGAGAGGAUCAAGAAGUUGUUUAGGAUCAAAAUUAUUAAUGUUUUCCAACUUUUUUUUCUGAACUGUUAAAUAAUCGCCUAUGUUAUUUUUGAUGGUCAAGUUUAAAUUUGAAAAUCGCCUUUCCUAUACUUAGCAAUUUCUUAUGAAAAAUGUAGCCGGUAUAAAUGAUGUGUUCAAGCGUACUCUUUGAGGUCAAUGGAUAUAUACUGAAUGGAUAGCUAUUUCAAGAUGCUGUUUGAGCAUGAGUAACUCUUAAUCUUACGCAAUAAUUUGUUGUUGUCGAGGCAAAACUAAUGC
rnacentral:lncRNA from 1 species